CUUGACACUGAACAUUGAGCCUUGAUGUGUAGGAUAGGUGGGAGGCUUUGAAGUGUGGACGCCAGUCUGCAUGGAGCCGACCUUGAAAUACCACCCUUUAAUGUUUGAUGUUCUAACGUGGACCCGUGAACCGGGUUGCGGACAGUGUCUGGUGGGUAGUUUGACUGGGGCGGUCUCCUCCUAAAGAGUAACGGAGGAGCACGAAGGUUGGCUAAUCCUGGUCGGACAUCAGGAGGUUAGUGCAAUGGCAUAAGCCA
rnacentral:rRNA from 1 species